UUGUUUUCUUAAUUUUCAAGGA
rnacentral:piRNA from 1 species